rnacentral:rRNA from 1 species
UACGUAGGGCGCAAGCGUUAUCCGGAAUUAUUGGGCGUAAAGAGCUCGUAGGCGGUUUGUCGCGUCUGCUGUGAAAACCUGGGGCUUAACCCCGGGCCUGCAGUGGGUACGGGCAGACUAGAGUGCGGUAGGGGAGACUGGAAUUCCUGGUGUAGCGGUGAAAUGCGCAGAUAUCAGGAGGAACACCGGUGGCGAAGGCGGUUCUCUGGGCAUUACCUGACGCUGAGGAGCGAAAGUGUGGGGAGCGAACAGG